UGCUCAGAACUCCGAUCUCAAACCUCCUCGUGGUGCUAGCUGGAGUGUGGUUGUCGUAAAUUGUGUACACCGAUUGAGAUGG
rnacentral:ribozyme from 1 species